GUGGGGAAUAUUGCACAAUGGGCGCAAGCCUGAUGCAGCAACGCCGCGUGAGGGAUGACGGCCUUCGGGUUGUAAACCUCUUUUAGUAGGGAAGAAGCGAAAGUGACGGUACCUGCAGAAAAAGCACCGGCUAACUACGUGCCAGCAGCCGCGGUAAUACGUAGGGUGCAAGCGUUGUCCGGAAUUAUUGGGCGUAAAGAGCUCGUAGGCGGCUUGUCGCGUCUGCUGUGAAAUCCCGGGGCUCAACCCCGGGCCUGCAGUGGGUACGGGCAGGCUAGAGUGCGGUAGGGGAGAUUGGAAUUCCUGGUGUAGCGGUGGAAUGCGCAGAUAUCAGGAGGAACACCGAUGGCGAAGGCAGAUCUCUGGGCCGCUACUGACGCUGAGGAGCGAAAGCAUGGGGAGCGAACAGGAUUAGAAACCCGAGUAGUCC
rnacentral:rRNA from 1 species